rnacentral:rRNA from 1 species
UGGGGAAUUUUGGACAAUGGGCGCAAGCCUGAUCCAGCCAUGCCGCGUGAGUGACGAAGGUCUUCGGAUUGUAAAGCUCUUUUUGGCGGGGACGAUAAUGACGGUACCCGCAGAAUAAGCCCCGGCUAACUUCGUGCCAGCAGCCGCGGUAAUACGAAGGGGGCUAGCGUUGUUCGGAAUCACUGGGCGUAAAGCGCACGUAGGCGGAUUUGUAAGUCAGGGGUGAAAUCCCGGGGCUCAACCUCGGAACUGCCUUUGAUACUGCGAAUCUCGAGUCCGAUAGAGGUGAGUGGAAUUCCUAGUGUAGAGGUGAAAUUCGUAGAUAUUAGGAAGAACACCAGUGGUGAAGGCGGCUCACUGGAUCGGUACUGACGCUGAGGUGCGAAAGCGUGGGGAGCAAACAGGAUUAGAUACCCCUGUAGUCCCUGAGCGGGCUGGCAAGGCGCAU